ensembl:lncRNA
AGGGCUUCCUUGCCUGGGGUCCUUCUCUGCUGUUGGGUGCAUCAGGCACAUAGAGGGGACACCCUGCCUGGGGUCCUACUCUGUAGAUUGGCACAUCAGGCACUUAAAGGGGCACCCUGGGUGGGGUCCUACUCUGUAGUUCAGUACAUCAGGCAUUUGAUGGGCCAGCCUCUCUACUGUUUAGCUGCAGAUGUGGCAGUGUGGGAAGAGAGAGGAUAUGGUGAUGGCUCCAUCCACUAUGCGUGACUCAGCAGUAUCGCCUUGCUUCCGUGGCUGCCUGGCUUUCCUCCACAGGCAUUUCCCACCACAAUCUCCUCCCUCACGUCCCCUUGAUCUGUCUCUCCACAGUUAAGAGCAGCCCUCACCUUGGGAUUGCUCCACACUCCCUAAUCUCCAACUCCCAGCUGCUGUGCCUUCCAGGGAAUCUGCAUCCCUGUCUGGGGUAUGUAUGGCUGUGGCAAGGACUGUCUGAUUCUCAUUCCAUUUGGGCUGCCACAGAUCAGCUGUUUCGCUCUCAGCCUUGAAUGUUUCUCCUCUGACUCAGACAAUUGCCCCAAUAUGGGGAUUGGCCCACUGCUUCAGUUCCCCCACUGCCUGAGGGCAGGUCCAGUCCUACUAACACUCCUGUUUUUCCUCCUAGUUCCUUCACCCUACCGAGUUUUGCAUGGUUCUAUAUAUUCUUUUCCACUGGUCAGGUACUCCUGUCCACUCUCAGCUAGUGUUCUGCAUGCACUUCUGUGUCUGAAGGUGUAUUCCUGAAGUAUCCAAGAGAGAGAUGUACUCCACAUCCACCUCAUCCUCCGCCAUCUUGUUGUUGUUGUUUUUAAGAGAAAAGCAAGUCAUCCACCAGCAGGCAGACACCGUGGCUGAACUUAAGCUGCAGACCACCUCCCCUGGAAGUAAAAGAAUGAAUACCUGCGAACCUAUCAGCUUAUCUGGUGGCUCAGAUGGCAAAGAAUCCUGCAAUGUGGGAGACCUAGAUUUGAUCCCUGGGUUGGGAAGAUCCCCUGGAGAAGGGAACGGCAACUCACUCCACUAUUCUGGCCUGGAGAAUUCCACGGACAGAGGAUCCUGGUGGGCUACAGUCCAUGUGAUCACAAAGAGUGAACCUAUCCAAGAACAAGAUCAUUCCAACAACUCUGAGCUCCUCCUCUGUAUUUUAUCCUUCCUUCUUAGAGGGAAUCACUCUCCAGUUGUCUUGUAUAGAUGUGUUAUAUCCAAAUGCUUAACUAAAUUAUACAUUGUUUAGUUUUACCUGUUUUUGAAAUUCACAGAAAGGGCAUUGCAUAAUAUACUAUCUUCUGAGACUUGCUUUUUUGAUUCAAGAACAGCUAAAAAGAUUCCUAUCACCAUAUUAUUGCACGUUGCUAUAUUUUAUUUAUUUUCACUGCUGUACAACAUUCCAGUGUCUGGAUAGAUUUUAAUGUAUCUCUUCUCACAGCAUGGGCAUUUGGGUUGUUUCAGCUUUUUGUUAUUAAAAAGAGAGCUUCCAUAAAAUUCCUGUCCAAAUUCAUGAGCUAAAUUUUGCCUUGUGUUUAUAACCAAUAUAAGAAAGAU